GACGAACGCUGGCGGCGUGCUUAACACAUGCAAGUCGAACGGUAAGGCCCUUCGGGGUACACGAGUGGCGAACGGGUGAGUAACACGUGGGUGAUCUGCCCUGCACUUCGGGAUAAGCCUGGGAAACUGGGUCUAAUACCGGAUAGGACCAUUGCCUGCAUGGGUGGUAGCGGAAAGCUUUUGCGGUGUGGGAUGGGCCCGCGGCCUAUCAGCUUGUUGGUGGGGUGAUGGCCUACCAAGGCGACGACGGGUAGCCGGCCUGAGAGGGUGACCGGCCACACUGGGACGGAGAUACGGCCCAGACUCCUACGGGAGGCAGCAGUGGGGAAUAUUGCACAAUGGGCGCAAGCCUGAUGCAGCGACGCCGCGUGAGGGAUGACGGCCUUCGGGUUGUAAACCUCUUUCAGCACCGACGAAGCGCAAGUGACGGUAGGUGCAGAAGAAGGACCGGCCAACUACGUGCCAGCCGCCGCCGUAA
rnacentral:rRNA from 1 species